AAGUAGACUAGAAGAUUCAGUGCAAUUGCAGAACAUGAACUUCUCUUAGGAAACUCGCAAAUUUAUCAGAGUCCUCUGAUUAUAGAAUAAGUUUUUAUCAUACAUAUCAGUGAGCCUGACUUAACCACUUCUGCUUUAUUAAAAUAUUCUUAAUAAUGAUGAAAUACCAUAUUGACAUGAGAUUGACAUAGUCUAUCUCAUCUCGGUCCUCACUGGUAUGAUACAGUAGAAAGACUGUAUCUACAAAAAAUAUACACUGUUGGAGAAAUUAGGUAGUUUAAAAUGAUCGAAAUCUUCUGAGGUUCCCCCUGGAUUAGAACCAAUGAGAAUCUCUAGAUAAAUAUCAUAUCUAGAUCAUAGUAGUCUUAAAUUUUCAUAGUCCCUACAAGCUUUUCUCCACUCACUGCUGAUAUUAUUUUCAUUCUUUAGGGCACGGAAAACACGCACAUACAGUCUUGUGUGAAAUAAUUUUGUACAUCCUGGUGAUGAAGAAUCAUCCAAUAUUCACUGAUAGGCUAAUGAUUUUUUGACAAGUACACGUAGGUGAUACAAGAUAUGCAGAAUAACUGUGUCUUAACCUAGUUUGGACACAGGUAAAAAUUUCUGGAAAAAUAAUUAAUCUUCAAAAAUAAAACAUCAUUUCUUUGUAAUAAGCUAAUAUGAGUAACAUGAGAUGAAGUUAAAAUUGUACUCAACAGUUCUCCCUUUAAGACCUGCCUUGCAGCAUUGGGGCAGUGAGUCAUUGGUCCAGGUGUGUGUAUUUCACCCUCCUGUCCUUGGACCAAGGUGGUCUGCAGUGAGUGGAGACUGAGUUUAUGCUCUCCCUAGAAUGGAGGUACAGAACUGCCUCUCCCACCCACUCUGACUUUCUUGAUUGAAGGGACAUGUAUUCUCCCAGGUGGCUGAGUCUCUACUUAUUGAUGAUGAUAUCACUUAUCAGCUUCGGGUGUAAUAAGCUGCCUUAUUGACUUCUGCCUUGUCACUCCUGCAGCUAGCUCCUUGUCACAGGCAUCACUGCAUUGCAUCAGUCUGUCUUUGCUUUAUUGGUUUAUUGAUAGUUCCAUCCAUCUUCUCCAAGAAGUUGACAGGCUGACAUUUGCCUCUUCUUUCUUCCUGCAAUAUUACAGCCUGCGGGAUAGCUGCCUGAAGUCCCCAGAGUUUCUCCGAUGGCCAGUAUGCAAUCCUCCCCACUACACUGAGGGAUGCUACAAAUUUCUGUUGCAAAAUAUGGAAUCGCUGACAAAUCUUUUUCUGAAAGAUUUGAGGUGCUGAGGUGCAAGAAGAGACUAUUAUUUGCCCUAGUAACGAUGACAAAAGAGCUUCAGACUGUUUUUGCUGGUGUUCCCUGCGAGAGCUCUCUGAUUGUUGCACUGACAGAGCCAUAUUUACCCCCAGAUAUCAAAGCAGAGUCAAAUAGCCACAGGGGUGUGAACUGGUUCCCUUCCACUUUGUGCAACAUCAAAACCAUGUCAGAGGAGCUCUGACAACAAGAAUCUUUAGUACUGAUAGAAAGAAAAAAUUAAUUCCUACUACAAAAAUCAUUGAGUUUCAAAGACAAAAUAAUGAUAACCUGAUUCCUUUUUAAAAUGAAGGUCAGUGUUUAUGCCUGUGGCAGGUGGGGAAAUCAUUUGACUUGUAAACUCAGCAUGUUUGACCUAGAACUUUCCAAAGAAUGAAACAGCAUGAUGUAAUAGAAGCUUUUAUGAGAAAAGAAAAUAUGGAUUAUAUAAUGGGAAAGUUUUCAGGGGUCCACACUGUUAUAUAUCAUUAAACAUGUAUUGUUAUCCCAUCCUUAUUAGCUCUUAUCCAUAAACACCACCCAGACAACAGCUGUAGAAGAUAAAUCAAGUUCUAUUAGGUGCACCCAAAAGUAUAGUUUUAAAAAAGUUUUUCUUUAACUCAAAUUGGUGACUUUAGGAAUUUGUAGUAUUCUAUGGAUGAGCUUCACACCAAAACUCGUUAAAUAUGUUGUUUUCUUUUGCAGAACUACAAAUGCCUGCCAGGGGUGUUGGAGAAGAAGUUUUAAAAGUGGGAACAAGAGCUUUUAGCCAUUAAAUAAUGAUGAUUGUUACAUGACUAUUGAAUGAUUUACUUUUUAUUAAAAUCUGUAUUAAAAUUUCUGUAACUUAAAUUUUAAUUUCUUAGUGACAGAUGAAGAAAUUGAGGCAUCAGAAAGAUAAUUGAGUUACCAAAGUGGACACAGCUAGAAAACCAUUAGUAGAGAAGCAAUGAAAGCACUUACUGAUAGAGUGUGUGUUGCGGGAAGUCAGUGACCCCAAUGGAGGUACCUGCUGAAGCCGUGACAGAAGAAAAUAAAUUGUGAAGAUUUCAUGGACAUUUAUCACUUCCCCAAUCAAUACUCUUAUAAUUUCCUAUGCUUGUCUUUACUUUAAUCUCUUAAUCCUGUCAUCUUCGUAAACUGAGGAUGUAUGUCGCCUCAGGACCCUGUGAUGUUUGCAUUAACUGCACAAAUUGUUCAUAAAGCAUGUGUGUUUGAACAAUAUGAAAUCUGGGCACCUUGAAAAAAGAACAGGAUAACAGUGAUGUUCCAGGUACAAGGGAGAUAACCAUUAGGUCUGACUGCCUGGGAGCCAGGCAGAACAGAGCCAUACUUCUCUUAUUGCCAAAAACAGGUAAGAGAAAUAUCGCUGAAUUCUUUCCCCAGUAAGGAAUAUUAAUAAUUAACAGCCCUGGGAAAAGAAUGCAUUCCCAGGGGAGCCUCUAAAAUGGCCGCUCUGGUGGUGUCUGCCUUAUGCAGUUGCAGAUAAGGGAUGAAACAUGCCCUGGCCCUCUGCAGCGCCCCCAGGGUUGCUAGGAUUAGGAAAUUCUGGUUCUCUGCUCUUGAACCCUGUUAAGAUGUUUAUCAAUGACAGUGCGUGCACAGUGGGACAUGGAACUUCAUUAGUAACUCUAGUUUCACCCUGACCUUGUGAUCUUGCCCUGACCUUCUGCCUUGUGAUCUUUUGUUGCCCUUGAAGCAUGUGAUCUCUGUGACCCACACCCUGUUAGUACACUCCCUCACCUUUGAAAACUGCUAAUAAAAAUUUGCUGGUUUUAUGGCUGAGGGGGCAUCACGGAAUCUGCCGACAUGUGAUGUCUCCCCCGGACACCCAGCUUUAACAUUUCU
rnacentral:lncRNA from 1 species